CAGGAAGUAGUUUAAUUAGAACGUCAGCUUUGGGUGCUGAUGGUGAGGAGGAUGAUCCUCUUCUUGA
rnacentral:tRNA from 1 species